AGCAGCCGCGGUAAUUCCAGCUCCAAUAGCGUAUAUUAAAGUUGUUGCAGUUAAAAAGCUCGUAGUUGAAUUUCGGGGUUAGCAAGUUGGUCGUGCCACUGGUAUGUACUGGCUUUGCUGAUUCCUCCUUCUUGUAGAACCGUAAUGCCAUUCAGUUGGUGUUGCGGGGAAACAGGACUGUUACUUUGAAAAAAUUAGAGUGUUUAAAGCAGGCUA
rnacentral:rRNA from 1 species